GGGGCCGGGCGUAGUGGCUCACACCUGUCAUCCCAGCACAUUGAGAGGCCAAAGCGGAUGGAUUGCUUGAGGUCAGGAGUUUGAGACCAGCCUGGGCAACAUGGAAAAACACCGUCUCUAAUAAAAAUAGUCAGCCAGGUGUGGUGGCACAUACCUGCGGUCCCAGCUACUUGGGAGGCUGAGGCGGGAGGAUGGCCUGAGCCUGGGAGGCAGAGGUUGUAGUGAGCCAUGAUCACACUACUGCACUCCAGCCUGGGUGACAGAGUGAGACCUUUUCUCAAAAAAAAUACAUAAAUAAAAAGCAAAAAUUGUACUGUUGCAGAACCUUGCCUUAUUCUGGUUAAAAGCAUGGCUCACGGCCAGGCAUGGUGGCACAGAAAUACAUUACAUUAGGGUAAAAUGCUCUGGGAAAAAAGUAAAUGGAAAUAUGGGCUUAAGAAGAAAAAGGAAGAAUAAAAUUUCUGUGAGAGAAAAACUUGCCUAUGAAAUUGUUUUUUAGACAGGGUCUCGCUCACUGGCCCAGGCCGGAGUGCAGUGGCGCGAUCACAGCUCACUGCAGCCUCAACCUCCCGGGGCUCAAGUGAUCCUCCCACCUCAGCCUCCCAAAGUGCUGGGAGUACAGAUGUGAGACAUGGCGCCCAGCCCUGUAAAUUUUUUAACGAAGAAUGGUAGAUUAUUCUACCUCAAUUUCCCAGAUUUAUUCAGAUGAGUGACGCAAUAGUUUUAUUUUAAAAUGACAAUACUCAGGAUGGCAAAUAGUUAUUUGCAACUGGUUA
rnacentral:lncRNA from 1 species